GAUGAACGCUGGCGGCGUGCCUAAUACAUGCAAGUCGAGCGAACGGACGAGAAGCUUGCUUCUCUGAUGUUAGCGGCGGACGGGUGAGUAACACGUAGAUAACCUACCUAUAAGACUGGGAUAACUUCGGGAAACCGGAGCUAAUACCGGAUAAUAUUUUGAACCGCAUGGUUCAAAAGUGAAAGACGGUCUUGCUGUCACUUAUAGAUGGAUCCGCGCUGCAUUAGCUAGUUGGUAAGGUAACGGCUUACCAAGGCAACGAUGCAUAGCCGACCUGAGAGGGUGAUCGGCCACACUGGAACUGAGACACGGUCCAGACUCCUACGGGAGGCAGCAGUAGGGAAUCUUCCGCAAUGGGCGAAAGCCUGACGGAGCAACGCCGCGUGAGUGAUGAAGGUCUUCGGAUCGUAAAACUCUGUUAUUAGGGAAGAACAUAUGUGUAAGUAACUGUGCACAUCUUGACGGUACCUAAUCAGAAAGCCACGGCUAACUACGUGCCAGCAGCCGCGGGUAUACGCAGGUGGCAAGCGUUUAUCGGAAAUAUUGGGCGUAAAGCGCGCGUAGGCGGUUUUUUAGUCUGAUGUGAAAGCCCACGGCUCAACCGUGGAGGGUCAUUGGAAACUGGAAAACUUGAGUGCAGAAGAGGAAAGUGGAAUUCCAUGUGUAGCGGUGAAAUGCGCAGAGAUAUGGAGGAACACCAGUGGCGAAGGCGACUUUCUGGUCUGUAACUGACGCUGAUGUGCGAAAGCGUGGGGAUCAAACAGGAUUAGAUACCCUGGUAGUCCACGCCGUAAACGAUGAGUGCUAAGUGUUAGGGGGUUUCCGCCCCUUAGUGCUGCAGCUAACGCAUUAAGCACUCCGCCUGGGGAGUACGACCGCAAGGUUGAAACUCAAAGGAAUUGACGGGGACCCGCACAAGCGGUGGAGCAUGUGGUUUAAUUCGAAGCAACGCGAAGAACCUUACCAAAUCUUGACAUCCUUUGACAACUCUAGAGAUAGAGCCUUCCCCUUCGGGGGACAAAGUGACAGGUGGUGCAUGGUUGUCGUCAGCUCGUGUCGUGAGAUGUUGGGUUAAGUUCCGCAACGAGCGCAACCCUUAAGCUUAGUUGCCAUCAUUAAGUUGGGCACUCUAAGUUGACUGCCGGUGACAAACCGGAGGAAGGUGGGGAUGACGUCAAAUCAUCAUGCCCCUUAUGAUUUGGGCUACACACGUGCUACAAUGGACAAUACAAAGGGCAGCGAAACCGCGAGGUCAAGCAAAUCCCAUAAAGUUGUUCUCAGUUCGGAUUGUAGUCUGCAACUCGACUACAUGAAGCUGGAAUCGCUAGUAAUCGUAGAUCAGCAUGCUACGGUGAAUACGUUCCCGGGUCU
rnacentral:rRNA from 1 species